UAUCGGAUUGAUACUAAGCCAUGCGAGUCAUUGUAGCAAUACAAGGCAUACGGCUCAGUAACGCGUAGUCAACCUAACCUAUGGACGGAAAUAACCUCGGGAAACUGAGAAUAAUGUCCGAUAGAACACUAUACCUGGAAUGGUUUGUGUUCCAAAUGAUUUAUCGCCGUAGGACGGGACUGCGGCCUAUCAGUUUGUUGGUGAGGUAAUGGCCCACCAAGACUAUUACAGGUACGGGCUCUGAGAGGAGUAGCCCGGAGAUGGGUACUGGGACACGGACCCAGGCCCUAUGGGGCGCAGCAGGCGAGAAAACUUUGCAAUGUGCGAAAGCACGACAAGGUUAAUCCGAGCGAUUUGUGCUAAACGAAUCUUUUGUUAGUCUUAGAACCACUAACGAAUAAGGGGUGGGCAAGUUCUGGUGUCAGCCGCCGCGGUAAAACCAGCACCUCAAGUGGUCAGGAUGAUUAUUGGGCCUAAAGCAUCCGUAGCCGGCUCUGUAAGUUUUCGGUUAAAUCUGUACGCUCAACGUACAGGCUGCCGGGAAUACUGCAGAGCUAGGGAGUGGGAGAGGUAGACGGUACUCGGAAGGAAGGGGUAAAUCCUUUGAUCUUUUGAUGACCAUCUGUGGCGAAGGCGGUCUACCAGAACACGUCCGACGGUGAGGGAUGAAAGCUGGGGGAGCAAACCGGAUUAAAUACCCGGGUAGUCCCAGCUGUAACUAUGCAACUCAGUGAUGCAUUGACUUGUGGUCAAUGCA
rnacentral:rRNA from 1 species